CAGAAGUUGUGGCCGCAGUCGGUCAUCACCGGAUCCGUAAAGUAGUCGAGGCAGAUGGCGCAGGUGGCCUCCUCUUGGAGCUCCGGAUUGGCCGUGGCCUGUCACGCGGCCCGCGGGCCGGACAGAAUUGGAGGCUGAUCACCCGGGGAUCUUGCGUUGCCGCCGCCGCCUGCGCUGCUGCCUCUGGGCUGUUGCGGUGUUGCACCGCCUGGCCUCUCGGUCGGGCCUGGGGAAAGGUGGGGUGCAGGGGCCGGGGCCAGCGGGGUGCCCCGCACGGUCACUGGGCUCUCCGCGAAGCGCAGAGACCGCGAGGACAAGGGGAAGCUGAGGCUGUGUCGUGGGCCCCAAAUCGUUCCCCGUGCGCUCCUGGUUGUCUUCGCGCGUCCCCGGGCUGGGAACGGUCAGAACUUACUGGGUGAGGCGCUUGGCCCGCAGGGACUUUGGCCUUGUUGGGGACCCAAAUAUGGAAUUUGUGGAGGACAAAGAAGGUAGAUACUUGAGGCCUUGGCUCUACAUAUAAAAACCUGAACCAUGGAGGAGCCAAUGAAUGGCAACAUCUCAAGUGGAGAUUGAGGGACGUGGCUAAAGAACACUGCACAACGCUGUGCCUGGUACAUAUGUUUUUAGAAACUGAACCACUAUGACAGUUUUCUUCUCUAUGAAGCAUCUGUAAAUAUAGCCUCUUAAUGUUUAA